rnacentral:rRNA from 1 species
AUUGAACGCUGGCGGCAGGCCUAACACAUGCAAGUCGAGCGGGGUUUUCGGACCUAGCGGCGGACGGGUGAGUAAUGCGUAGGAAGCUACCCGAUAGAGGGGGAUACCAGUUGGAAACGACUGUUAAUACCGCAUAAUGUCUACGGACCAAAGUGUGGGACCUUCGGGCCACAUGCUAUCGGAUGCGCCUACGUGGGAUUAGCUAGUUGGUGAGGUAAUGGCUCACCAAGGCGACGAUCCCUAGCUGGUUUGAGAGGAUGAUCAGCCACACUGGAACUGAGGCACGGUCCAGACUCCUACGGGAGUCAGCAGUGGGGAAUAUUGGACAAUGGGCGCAAGCCUGAUCCAGCCAUGCCGCGUGUGUGAAGAAGGCCUUCGGGUUGUAAAGCACUUUCAGUGGGGAGGAAGCGUUGUGUGUUAAUAGUACACAGCGUUGACGUUACCUACAGAAGAAGCACCGGCUAACUCUGUGCCAGCAGCCGCAGUAAAAC